rnacentral:misc_RNA from 1 species
GGAUCAUUGCUGGAAACGCGCCCCAGGCGCUACCCAGAAACCCUUUGUGAACUUAUACCUUACUGUUGCCUCGGCGCUAGCUGGUCCUUCGGGGCCCCUCACCCUCGGGUGUUGAGACAGCCCGCCGGCGGCCAACCUAACUCUUGUUUUUACACUGAAACUCUGAGAAUAAAACAUAAAUGAAUCAAAACUUUCAACAACGGAUCUCUUGGUUCUGGCAUCGAUGAAGAACGCAGCGAAAUGCGAUAAGUAAUGUGAAUUGCAGAAUUCAGUGAAUCAUCGAAUCUUUGAACGCACAUUGCGCCCUCUGGUAUUCCGGAGGGCAUGCCUGUUCGAGCGUCAUUUCAACCCUCAAGCCUGGCUUGGUGAUGGGGCACUGCUUUUACCCAAAAGCAGGCCCUGAAAUUCAGUGGCGAGCUCGCCAGGACCCCGAGCGCAGUAGUUAAACCCUCGCUCUGGAAGGCCCUGGCGGUGGCCUGCCGUUAAACCCCCAACUUCUGAAAUUGACCUCGGAUCAGGUAGG